GCAUCUCCCGCGGGGAGCGCGCGCACCCUGGCCUUCCCCGCCCGCGGCUCCUCUGCCUCCGUCAGCAGGGCGCACAUGACUCUCGCAAGCCAAGUCCUAGGUCACGUGGAGAUUAAAGCCAGUCCUCCCCUCCGGCCUGGAGCCCCCUGGGCCAGGGCUAGGACCGGCGGAGAAGUCGCAUGAUCGAGGGAAGCAGCCCGCGGGGCGCACGGAGGGGCUCGUGACCGCGCCUCCCGCACACGCGGCGUCCUGGGAGAAGGGCUGGAGAUAGCAGGGGCCAUGCAGGCUUUCCCGCCCUUCCCCCACUCCUGAUAAAAAUAGUCCGCGUGUCCCAGGCCCUCCCCACCCGCCCCUCAGUCACGGCUGAGUCCCAGCUCAGCUCCUGUUCCUCCUCCCUGGGGCUCCAUUCCCAGAAGGUCUCAGGGUGCAGCUGGGCCUGGGGCCUGGCGAGCAAAUGCCCCUGCCCACCCCCGGGGCCGGGCGGAGGCUCAGCCUCUGAGGGACGGCAGAGACGCAGCUGGCUCCUCAGGCUCCAGGGUAGGAGGGCUGGGGUGGCACGUACGGGGGAGGAGCUGUAAGCCAAGGAGACGAGGUGAGGGUAGGGGCGGCCCAGGAGGGCGCAAAGGAACCCGACCCAGGCUGCAGGAUCCCCAGGGAGGAGCAGGCAGGACGCGGGGCCCACUCACCUGCAGGGUUGUAGACGGGGGGUCCCGCCGGGUAGAGUGGAUACUGGGGUGCAGGACCGCUGGGUGGGUACAUGAAGCCAGGCUGUGGGGGUGCGGGGCCAGCUUUGGGGUCCUGGGGGUAUGGGCACAGUGGCUGCACAGGGACGCCUGUCAUGGGGAUCUCCUGGCCUGGUUGGGGGACAAGGACCAGCACUCAGGGCACCGCCUCCAUGGGGCGCCGGCCCUGCCCCUCUGCCGCCAGACCCUGCUUGGCCGAGUGCAGCAGGGCGCCCGGAGGUGGCCCCGGCUGGUUGGUCUGGGCUCAGCAGGGUGCCCGCUCCGGGUUUCAGAGACCUCCUGGGCCAGAUAGCACUGGCCUGGGGGGCGUCCCGCCCUGCCCCGGCCUAGCAGAGCUGCCCCCGAGGGGUCCUCUCACACUGACCCCCACACGGGGUCACCGUUCCCACACCCACCAGGGCUGGGCCUGUGGGCAGGCACACGAUUUUGCACACGGAGCACACCCCAUGUCGCUCGAGCGCCAGGCCUGGCCCGCGGGUUUCCUGAGAGACGUGCACGCGCACGGCACACGGCGCACGGUGCAGGCACCCCGCCCCUUCCCGCGCGGACGCACGGACGGACGCACCUUCGAACGGGCUCUGCAGCUGCUGGCGCCGGCGGUAGAGGUAGCAGCAGGAGCAGAGGAAGCAGCAGAUGGUGGUGGCGACCACGGCGACGAAGAGGAUCACGGCCGAGGCGAUGCCCGCUAUGGUCUUGGGACUUGGGCAGAGAACAGGCCUCCUCACCUUCCAGCCUCGCGCAGGGAGUCCUCGCCACGCAGACCGCCAUGCUGGCCUGGACCCCCGGCCAGAGAGCUCCUUUCUCAAAACGCGCUCGGUCACCGCCUCCCCCUACAUGCUCUGUAUGUCAGCGUCUCCUCCUCCCCAAACAAAUUUGAAAGCCCCCUGUGUGCGCCCCCCUUAAUGAGGAGGGAACAGUGA
rnacentral:lncRNA from 1 species